GUCGAGCGGUAACAGGUGUAGCAAUACAUGCUGACGAGCGGCGAACGGGUGAGUAAUGCUUUGGAAUCUUCCCAGUAGUGGGGAAUAACCAGUCGAAAGAUUGGCUAAUACCGCAUACGUCUGUAAAGGGAAAGCGGGGGCUCGUAAGACCUCGCGCUAUUGGAUGAGCCAAAGUCGGAUUAGCUAGUUGGUGGGGUAAUGGCCUACCAAGGCGACAAUCCGUAGCUGGUCUGAGAGGACGACCAGCCACACCGGAACUGAGACACGGUCCGGACUCCUACGGGAGGCAGCAGUGGGGAAUAUUGGACAAUGGGGGAAACCCUGAUCCAGCGACGCCGCGUGUGUGAAGAAGGCCUGCGGGUUGUAAAGCACUUUUAGUGGGGACAAAAAGCUACGGAUUAAUACUCUGUGGUCUUGAUUUAACCCAAAGAAAAAGCACCGGCUAACUCUGUGC
rnacentral:rRNA from 1 species